AUCCAAGCAGAUGCAGACCAGGCUUCUUCCCACAUAGAGCUUGUGGACAUCACCCCUAACACAGAGGCAGACCCGGCUUCUUUCCACCUAGUUGUUGUGGACAUCCUUUGACACAGAGGUAGACCGGGCCUAUUCCCAGCUGGAGGUUGUGGAAGUCACCCCUAAUAUAGAGGUAGAACCCGUCUCUUCCCACUUGGAAGUUGUGGACAUCACCCGUAACACAGAGGCAGACCCGGCUUGUUCUCAGCUGGAGGUUUUGGACCUCUCCCCUAACACAAAUGCAUACCCGGCUUCUUCACUCUUGGAGGUUGUGGACGUCACACCUGAAGAAAAGCCUCUCAUGGUGGCCGUCUCC